GAGUUUGAUCCUGGCUCAGAUUGAACGCUGGCGGCAGGCCUAACACAUGCAAGUCGAACGAGCUGAGACCUUCGGGUCUCUAUGCUAGUGGCGCACGGGUGAGUAACGCGUGGGAAUAUGCCCUUCAGUACGGAAUAACUCAGGGAAACUUGGGCUAAUACCGUAUACGCCCUCCGGGGGAAAGAUUUAUCGCUGAAGGAUUAGCCCGCGUCUGAUUAGGUAGUUGGUGAGGUAACGGCUCACCAAGCCGACGAUCAGUAGCUGGUCUGAGAGGAUGAUCAGCCACACUGGGACUGAGACACGGCCCAGACUCCUACGGGAGGCAGCAGUGGGGAAUAUUGGACAAUGGGCGAAAGCCUGAUCCAGCCAUGCCGCGUGAGUG
rnacentral:rRNA from 1 species